AAUUCAAAUCCCGCCUCUCUAAAUUGUUUUCCCUCUCAUACAAAAUUCAAAUCCCCCUCUCUAAAUUUCUUUCCCUCACACAUACGAAAUUAACUCCCUCACUCCUGUACCAUCACAAUCACAUUUACCAUCACAAAAUCAAAGAAAAGAACAUUGAAGGCGUGCCUAUUGAAAUGUAAACUGGAAUCAAGGGAAACAAUGAAGAUUUUCAAUUUAAGGAAGACGUGAUUACAGAAAUUAGGGUAUCGUUGUUAAGUAGGUAAGGCGGAGAAUCAACGAAGGUGAAGCAACUGAUGAUGAUGAAUUAGAUAGAAAAGCAUAUGAUGUAUGGGUUUCAGUCUUUCAGAAAUCAUGCUUCAACAAAUUAGGGUUCAGUUUAUCACUUUGCUCAAGCUUCUACAAAGAAGGUUAUGAGACGUGGGCUGGAUUAGGUUACUAUAGAAGGGCAAGAUUCUAUUUUUAGGGGUUUUUAUUUGCAGGUUGUCUUGACCUUGAAUUGUUAUAGCUGAGCGAGGUUUCAGUUUUGGCUACUAAAACAAAUUCUAAUCGUUCAAGUGUUUCACCAAUAGCUUAGGCUUUUUGAAACCCCUCCACUGUGGUUUGUCGCCGCCAUGGUUUGCUUCUAGCUUCUGGGAGUGGAAAAGGAACUUGCUUUACAUGCCCUUAUCAUUUUUUUGCAGGUCUUUUGUGACAGUUACUUAUCAUAUGGCGGGUAUCGUGUACCUUUCGCACAUAAAGAUCUUGCAUCAGGAUAAGUACUGUCUAUGGAUGGACACCAAUGAAGAAUGGUAUUUUGGAGAAUCUCAAAUCGAGAAUUUAGUGGUAGAUUUAAUGUUGGGUUUUAUUAAAAAGAUGUUUUGAUGUUGUAAGCAUUAGUUUGUGUAUCAUUAAGACUUUUGUAAUUCGAUAUAGUUGAACGGGUUGUUUAAUACUAGUUAACUUUUGUUGUGAGCAUGUC